UCUUUUACAGUCUGGAAACCUGUUCUGCUACUCACCUAGGAUGAGGCUGAUUUGGAGCAUCAGGGUCUGGCAGGGGAACCA